AAUCAACGCUGGCGGCGCGCUUAACACAUGCAAGUCGAACGAGAAAGCGGGGGCAACCUCGUGAGUAAAGUGGCGUACGGGUGAGUAACACGUGGGUAAUCUACCUCUUAGUGGGGAAUAACGCUGGGAAACCGGCGCUAAUACCGCAUAAGCCCGGGAGGGGAAAGCAGCAAUGCGCUGAGAGAGGAGCCCGCGGCCGAUUAGCUAGUUGGUGAGGUAAAAGCCCACCAAGGCAAAGAUCGGUAGCCGGCCUGAGAGGGCACACGGCCACACUGGCACUGAAACACGGGCCAGACUCCUACGGGAGGCAGCAGUGGGGAAUCUUGCACAAUGGGGGAAACCCUGAUGCAGCGACGCCGCGUGAGCGAUGAAGCCCUUCGGGGUGUAAAGCUCUUUCGGCAGGGACGAAACAUGACGGUACCUGCAGAAGCAGCUGCGGCUAACUACGUGCCAGCAGCCGCGGUAAUACGUAGGCAGCGAGCGUUGUUCGGAGUUACUGGGCGUAAAGGGUGCGUAGGCGGUCCCUUAAGUUUGGUGUGAAAUCUCCCGGCUCAACUGGGAGGGUGCGCCGGAUACUGAGGGGCUAGAGUGCGGGAGAGGAAAGUGGAAUUCCUGGUGUAGCGGUGAAAUGCGUAGAUAUCAGGAGGAACACCGGUGGUGUAAACGGCUUUCUGGACCGUAACUGACGCUGAGGCACGAAAGCGUGGGGAGCAAACAGGAUUAGAUACCCUGGUAGUCCACGCCCUAAACGAUGCACGUUUGGUGUGGGUGAUUCAGUUCAUCCGUGCCGGAGCUAACGCGUUAAACGUGCCGCCUGGGGAGUACAGUCGCAAGGCUGA
rnacentral:rRNA from 1 species